UCUCCGUCCUAAUAACCAUCUGCAUGUGUGUGUUCUGCAGCAGGGUUCUAGGAAAAUUAACAUCAUGCAGCUUCUUCAGUCACACCACCGACUCCACUGAUAAGGCUGAAAACAUUUAUUAUACCACUGUUCAGUACAAAAGAAUGUCCACUGCAUCUGCUACGAACAUCAAGUCAGACUGCAGGACUGAUUCCUAACUGUUACCUCACAGCUGCAGAGACACUGACAAGCACAAGGUGC